UGUAAUAGAUCUGUUACAAAAAAAAUAUGUACAUGAACAUGUUGUGAUAGUCACAAACUAACUACAAAGGAACUGACAAGUAUUACUGUGACAAUUGUGGUAUAUAUCUAGAAAUUAUAACACCUCGAAAGCAUAUCCUACUAAUUUCAACAAGAACUUUCAUAUUAUAUUUACUCUGCACCAAUAACAGUGGUAGCAAAAUUGCUGAACUCAUUGGACGAAAAAUAUGAGAAGCAUCAAAUAUUUUACAAUAUUGAAAGGCAACUAAUUUAUGUUUACCGGGAUAGAGAAAGAAUACAUCACAUGAUCAAUAUAGGGAGGACACUUAGUAUAUAAGGUUGAAAUACAUUCAGACAUGCACUUUUGUGAGUUGUGUUCUUGGUAACAUCUCUUCCAUCCUACAGCUGUUUCAGUUGAAGAGAAUAAUGAGAAAAGCUCCAGUGUUAUAGGCAUCGCCUACAACACAUGCGAAAAAUCUAUUGCAUAUCAAUUAACACACAUGAACCAACUUCAGUUAAUACAUGUGAACCUUCUUCGUUUGUCUUAACUACACAUAUCAUUGAUAUAACUUGCUAUUAUAUGGUACAACAAAUAGAGAAUAUACCUUUUAUCCAACUAGAGGCGGGAAGCAUACCUGUGAAGAACAGUGUGGAGGAAGUAGGAAAGAUGCAAAGUAGUAGCACAUUACAUUGGUGGAUGUUUUUUUCGAAUCACAUAGGUGGAACUUGACAGCAGUAGCAACUAGGGAGCCCAUGACUCGCCUCCACCUGUGGACUUUCUACGAAUGUAAAGAGACCGAUCACAUGCUACAAAUGUGAAGAGACCAAUCACAUGCUAAUGCAGAUUAAUAUUUCCUCACACUACUUUCAUGUAUAUACAUGUUAAGAAGUGCAGACAAGACAAUGAAAUAAAAGAUAUAUAAGUGUUAUACGUAGUAGAUGGAUAUAACUUUUGCUAGACGAAACUUCGUAUAAUUGAUACGGAUGAGUUGAAGAGACAAUAAUCAAAGUUGGCAGAAUGUCAACAGAAAAAGUAAUAUAAGUUCAAUUCAUUAAAAUAAUGCAAGGCACACCAAUGAAAAGUUAAAUAACUCUAUAAUUCAUAUCCUAAAUGAUCCUUACAUGAACAACAACAAAAUAUAUGAGUUCAUCGUCUGUAUUAUAAUUUACCAGAACUAGGUAACUCAACCUUACCUUUUUUUUAGAACAUAGACGUCAGAGACGUCCGGCUUUAAAUUAAUAAAGCCCACAACAAUAGGCAGCGUGCAAACAAAGUAUCAAGACCAAACUAAACGGAACCGAAGCUAGACAGCCAAGUUUCGAGGCAGAGCCAAAAGGCGAGACCGGUGAUAAGUGCGUUACAUGGCAUAGCUAGCCAGCAGAGCGAGCACGCAGGCUCAAAGAAAGCAGGACCAAAAGGGCCGCCUAUCCCUAUAAGGCAGCAGACGGAGGAGGCGACGGGGCCCGGGACACCGAGUAGACUGUGCGGAGCCGAGCGAUGGCAUGUCGAUGGAGAUCAGCAUCCUGUUGCCUUCCCAGCGUAGCCCACUGCUGCAAGAAUAAGAUGCAUUUGAAGAUAACAUCAGCAGGGUGAGAGGGAAACGCUCCCUCAAUAGUAAACUUGUUACGAAUAUGCCAUAAGGCCCAUAGCAAGGCCGAAGCACACGUCCACAUUAUCCGGCGCAAAGAGCCCGGGAUCGCGGAUAAGUAAGACACAAGCUCAGAGCGUGAGCGUGGAUCCCAAUCCACCCCAGCGGCCUCCCUGGCCGCACUCCAAGCAAACCGCGCCAAAGGGCAGCGAAAAAACGCGUGGUCAGCAUCUUCCGCGUUAUGACACAAAGCACACGGUCCGGAAGCAGGGCCAUUGCGCUUGGCUAUAUUAAUAGAGGUAGGAAGGCGAUCCUGACAUAAUUGCCAAAGAAAGACCUUAAUUUUUAGCGGGAUUCGCGCCUUCCAAAGCCCCGAGGCUGCCAUAGGGGCAUGCCCGCGGCACAACUCCCUGUACAUUGACUUGACAGUGAACUUGCCAGAGCCCGGGAGUCUCCAAGAGACCUCGUCUGCGGAGUCCGAUAAGCGGACGGUCGCAGUCAAAGCCCGCACGUGAUCCCACUCGGCCCGCUCCAGUCCCACAAGCUCCCUUCUGAAACUCAACCUUACCUCUGAAUAAAUUUAACAGAUCAACUAAGUAAAUGAAAUUUUAAAGUACGUGUACACUGAGCCCAACAAGAUAAUGAUGAGGAGGAGGUUGGGAGAGUAGUAAGACAGUCAUACCCAUCACUACUCUGCCACAUAAGAUGAGGAACACUAUGAAGAACAUGGCCGUCAAACCCGACACCACAAUCCUUGGCCCAGUGACACGAACAGGAUAGCAGCGCCAUUAGGGAAGUUACCAACUACGGAUCACUCAUAUUCUUCAGUGGCCUCCCCGGCGACCGCCUUGCCUCGCUGCUAGGGAGCGCCAAAUCCGCGGCUAGAACGCGUGCCCCGACCUCGCUCAGAUCUGGCCUCCAAGAUAAUCUCCUUCCCAGCUUUGUUGAUGCACGGGCAGGCCACUCGAUUUGGUGCAGCCACUCCGGCACUCCCCAUCACAUGGACGAGUAGGCCAAUCAAUUUGGUACACCCUCUCCAUCUAUUUUUCCCUUCUCAAACAUGGUGGAGCAGAGGAAUGAGGAAGGGAUAUGCUUUGUACACAUGGGAUGGGUAGCACGUUGACCAAUGGUCAGCCAGUUGUGAC
rnacentral:lncRNA from 1 species